UGACAGAGAUGGAGACACAGAGAGAUCGUUUGUUCACUCUGCAGCGCCGGAAACAGCUGAGAUUGCAUCAGGACAACGCUGGGAGCCAGAAACUCCACCAAAGUCUUCUGUGUAGCGAUGGGAACAUAAGGACAUCAGCGAAGUCACACUAAGGUGACGCUGGAUCAAAAGCAGAGAUUUCCUGGUUUGACCCACAUGGAUACAUCUCUAAGUUUCCUCUGCAGUGUCUCUGAGAGGUCAGAUCACCAACAGCACAACGAUCAAGAGCAUGAAGUGCAAACUCAGAAAUGCUUGAUUUCAAAUCCUAGCUCAACCUCCUCCAUAUGGCCUCGGACUGGGAGAGCUGCCAGGCAGAGCAGGCAGUGCACACUGAGAAGGCCCAGGAGCAGGUCUCUGCACGUCUCCUCGUUGAGGAGUUGAAUGACAAGGAACUUCAUCUCUGCUCAAGAGGCUAAAGGUCAGCAACCUGGUGUAAAGAUAUAUUGGGACAAUGGAUGAGACUUCAGGAGUAGUCUCCUGCCCUGAACCUGCAGAUUUCCAAGAGGAGUUUGCCGCUUGGAUUAGUAGGCCUCGCAUGACAUUCCUGGACUAAAAGAAACUGAGGUGCAGAGGGAUCACGUUACUUGUUGAAGAUUUCAGAGACGGAUGGUGACACAGAUGCACUGGUCAGGAACCUAAGUUGGGGGAAACAAAAGACUACAAUGGAUUCUAAGGCUCAAGCAAAUAGGAAGGCUACCAUGAAAGAUCAUUUUGGAUGCUCUACACUGCUCUGGUGGCACAUGAACAGGUAAAUACAACGGCAGACAGAUGAGAGCAGGUAGGUGACAGUGUAAUGAAUUCCAGAAGAAAUGGUGGACAAUGGGGACCUGUGGAAAGGAACUGUGAUACAGGUGGCUGUGCUUGGCAUCCGGGAACAGGAAAAGCAACCCCAAGACCUGAAGUACAUGUUUGUACAAAGGAACUUUCAGCCUGGUGAGGGGAUAGUAGCAGUUUGGGGAUUUAGGAUGGGGAACCUGGAACCCAACGUGGCUCGUAGACUUCCACGUGGAUGCUCAAGGAAACAGUGUUCUUAGAAAGUAGGGAAUCUUGGCGUGAAGCGGGGAGAUGGAAAGAGGAAUUUGGUUUUAGACAUGUCCUAUUCAAGGUCUUAAAGAAGUGCAGAAAUAAACAUGUUCUGUCCAAACCUGAAUUUCAAGUGGGUGGAGGGGUGUUCCGUACACUCGUGUGCUUUGGCCUCAUAGUGGAGCUGGGUUUGAUCUGCGCUGUGUAAUCUUCGUCCAGUGGAGUAACCUUCAGCUAUGCUAGUAGACUCCAGGCAACUCUGUUUUUCUCCUUUAUGAAACAAGUGAGUACACCAUUGACAUUCAUAGUUACAUAGAGGAUUUAACGAGAUACUGUGUGUUAACU